ACAGUGGUUACUAUACCUGCACUUCAUACUAUACAUACAACUCAAACCUCCAUGAUGGACAGGUGUUUACCUUGUCCAAAACCAUGGAGCGGACAAUUAAACAAGGAAGUUCCCAUUUAAAGCCAAAGAUCAUUAGCCCUCAGGAUGGGGAGUUUAUUGAAGUACAUAUGGGAUCCACUGUGGUGGUGGUCUGCAGGGCUGUCCUG